ACACCCUUGGUGUUUGCGCUUGCCUCACCAGCAGGGAUCGGUGCCCUCUGCCGCCCAGCUUCCUUGGGGCUCAAGGCAGCGCCUCGGGAGACACAUGGGGCUGUUGCAAGUGGCGCCUGAGGCAGUUCUUGUCAGUGGAGGCAGCUGCGACCUUCAUUUGCUGUGGCCCUCCCCUGAGCAGCUCCUCUGCUCCCUCCUGGAUGGGUCACGGGGAGCCUGGGACUCUGCAGGUGGCCGGUGAGUUCCCAACGUACCUUCCCCAAGGCAGGCUCUCGCUGACGGGCCACGGGAGGCAGUGGGAGAGACGGGUUUGUCAGAGCAGCUGCCAGGAAGAUUUGCUGGCUGCAGUCCAAGGCUCCCAACAAAUGAGUUGUGAGAACCACGGUGCCAGCCCCAUCCCUCCUUUUGGCAAGGGUUUGAGCUCUUCCUCUGUCUUUUGGCACUCCCCUCACUCCCUACUUUCACCAUCACCCAAUGGCAAUGCCUCCAUCUCCCAAGGGUGCUCAUCCAGGAGGUGCAGAUAAACCUUUUAGCUCACCUCCCACCCACCCCAUCCAGGAGCAGCCCGAGGGUGACCCACUCUCAGGGGCUUUAUCUUAUGAAUACCCCCCCAGUCAAAAAAAAUGCCCCAUUUUCCACACUUCCUAUCUGGUCAGUGUUUCUGUCCCUGCCUUUCAGUUGCUCCCAGGAAAUUUCACCCUCACUCAAGGGACCAAGGGGUGAAUCAGUUCUCCCCCUCCCUUCCCCUGCCCCACCCCGCAGCAGUGUCAUAUCCUUUCCUCAGUGCCAGCGGUGUGUGGGCUCCAUGUCACAAUUAAAAAUAUUUUUUGGGCUUGUUUUGUUAAUAGCACUGGAGAAAUGAAUCACAUCUGGAGCAGAGGGGAACCUCCUGAAAACGAGAAGUUGCAGCAGCAGGAUCAGAUCCGGGCAGCUUCCAGCCAGUCAGAUGUAGCAUGGCCUUCUUUGGUGCAGCCCGAAACUGCUGAGAUCAGCUCGGAAUUUCCUCCUUCCGGGUUAGCUCUAUAAAUAGCAAGAUGCACUGCACAGCUGGAGAGAGCAAGAGAGAAGAGACAGCAAUGCUGCACCCUGACACCGUCGUCCCUCCACACCAGGCUACCAUCAUGAUAAGGAACGUUCCUCCUCACCAAAGCUGUGGCCGAUUUUAUCCACCCUUUUGUCCAGAUAAACUGCAGGGGCUCACCAAAACGACUGCAAAGCAGGAACCUUGGGUAUUCCACUCGAGGAUCUGCUUCCAUGGGUAGAGCCCACCCCACAGCUGUGAGACUCAAGAUCUAUGAGAAACAAAGGAUCCACUGACCAUCUCCCACUCUUCCUCUGGCUGCGAUUCCUUGUGUGGGGGUGUUUCUGACGUUGGACUCGGGAGAAAGCAGAGGUUAAAACAUCCUUUCCUCCUUGUCAAAUGCUUGGGCAUGGGCAGGCCAGUUCCAACAGGCAUUAGCUUUGCUCCAUCAGUCCCUGCAGUCACAGCAUGAGACGGCACCUUACAACCAGCAGUGACUCUGGAUUCACACAUCUUCAGGAAGAAAUGGGAACCGUGAGGGGCUGGCUCAGAGGCUCCCUCCUGUGGCAAAACCCAGCAGCUCCACUCUCUUUUCUGCAGAAAUGCCUCAACUUUAUCAGCGAAGAGAACUCAGGGCCCUUUGUGGAGCUUGUUUUUCUCGACUCUGUAUUUCAGUGCUCUCCGGAGCAGGUUGGGAGGGAGCCAUCUUCUGGAGUUUGAAGAUCGCCCUCGCAGGACUCAAGGAGUUAUGAAUCCAUAUGGACCUGCUACGGCUCUGUCACAGCAGACGCCCAGCAAGCAGCAGAAGAGGAUAGGUCAGUGAUGCAGGAUCAUCGUCAUGAGUUGUUUAUGUGCUCUCCAGCUGGAGUGGGACACUGCACGGAGGGGAAGAGACGCUUCGGCCCUCUGUCUCUCUGCUCGGUGUUUCAUGGUUGGGAGGCGCCAAUGACUCCCGUAAAACCACCAUCCCGGGCAUGCUCUGUCUCGUGCUUCCGAUGGGAUGGGUCGUUUGGCAUUCUGUACAGUAAUGUCUAGUGAACUUCCUUUCCAGGCAGAAAUAAAUGGUUGUGACAUUGAUGCUGUGAGAGGUUAAUGUUAUUUUCAAACACCUGAGGCAGGGCUGGGAACAGAACCGGUCCUCUGACCCCAUCCCUUCCAUUCACUGCAGGGGACUGGGGCCCUAAUCUGCACACAAAGCUCAGCUCCUACCCACACUGAGUUCAAUGAAAGUUAGGAGCCUAAAUAUCUGUGAUGCUCUGGGCCCUGUUUGCUGUUCAUGGGGACGCACCGAGUGCUGAUGAAGGCAGAGAAUGGCUGGAUCUUCUUACGGCCCUUUCUCCUGAUUCAGCUCUUUGCUCAUUGGAUAGCGGCAGGCACAUGGCUGCAUCAUGACACCCAGGAAACAGACUCCCACCCUCCUUUCAAGCAAGGAAGCUACAGUGGGAUUUCCUUUGCCAGGGAGCUGAAGGGUAGGCGGCCUACAAUGCCCCAGGCUCUAAUAGGGCAGAACCUUUUUAAUAUUUAAGCAUGAACUAGAAGAUUGCCCUGGUGUUGUUCAAGUCCUUAACUCAAACACGUUUUGUUUUUGUUCAUGUAAAUCAUUGUUCUGCAGUGGGGCUGGGGAUGAGGGGUUCAGUAUGCAG